AGGAGGAGCAGGAGGAGGAGGGAAGGAGAAGGAGAGAGGCAGGAGAAUCAGUCCUGCGUGGCAGUGCGUCCAACUUUCCUUCUGCAGCAGGAACAGCCUCCAUACCCUGUUGUGUAGACCCCACCUCGGGGGAGCAUAGCAAAACCCGCCCCUCUCUGCGCCCUCCCCACCCCAUCCUUCGUCCUCCUCCCUGGGCCUUCCUCCUAGACAGGGAUCUCCUUUUUUCUCCACCCACCGGAGCUCGGCGAUUAUUCAGAGGCAUCGAGUCCACUCGCCCCAGCUUUGGCUGACCCUACACCUUGGCCUGCCACAGAGGGCCCCCGGUACUGUUCCCCCACCCACACAGGCACCUGCCAACAUGGAGCUGGGCACAGCUCCCCAGGGCUAUGGGGAAGCUCUAGCAGGUCUGAAGAACUUUAUUUUAUUUGUGUUUUAUUUUUUAGUGUAGUGACGAGUGCACCAGGCUGCGGCAUUGAGGGGUGUUCCCAGCUUUCUUAAUAACUGUGCAUAAUAUGCGUAAGCAGUGUUCAUUCAUUCCUCUUUCCAUCCCUAACAGGCCUGAUAGCUAAGUCAUUUGCCUAAAAGCUUGUCUGUCACCACUUUUCCAGAUGCUUAAACAUCCAGGGCUCAAAAUGUUGUUUGGAGAUCACAUGCCCCUUUUAGAUCACUGCUUUCCUUUGCCACUGCAGGGAAACAAGAGGAUGUGUAACCCUGGUGCAUUUUGGUUGCCUCCAUCUCUCUUUCAGGGUUAAGGCUGUUAUCUCUCCCUGCUUGCCUGUUAUUUGUUAUUCAUACUCCCAAAAUAAGCCAUGCCAGAUCUUUGCUGAAAGAGGAUGUUCAAGAUUUAAAACACAUUAUCUAACUUGUAGUCCAUCAUAGGGAUUUUAAGCAGAAAAUCCCUCCAGCCUUUGCUCUUCCACAACUUUUCAAUUUUCUUCCAAACUCUCACUUGCUUUGAGUAUAUCCUAGUGGUAUUCACAAAACACGUUUCUUUCCAUCUAAAUAUUUGGGCCCUUGUUCACUGCUGACUUGCUCCAGACUGCAAGGAGGUUUUGUAUCUUAGAGAAAACGGUUUCUUCCUUUAAUGUAACAGCACUGGGAGAGAAUGUGUAUGGAAUUAGCAAAAGAAAAUAGCCCCAGAUUAUGGUCACCCCUAUUUCUCUUAAGUGUUUUUCACCUUUCCUUUGUUGAGAAUAGAAGCCUCUAAGUCUCAUUCAUUAUGCCUUUACUAAGUAAGACUUUUAGGAAAAAGACUAUCUUUCCAUUUUCCUUGUACAGGAACAUAACUACAGGGGGGCCGGCUUGCAACCAAAGGACUUCUAGCUGCUACAUGGCAAAUUCAUCAUGCAUUACUGCUACUGAAUGGAGAUAUCAGCUCACUUGGAUGGACAGCAAAAUACUGGCCUUUACAAGGGCUGAUGCUGACCAAACAAUUGGCCACUGACUUCAGUGGAAGCACCCUAAGGAACAGCACCUGGCUAGUGAGUCACACUGUCCUGAUCACCUUCCUGCUCUUUUCUCCUCUGGGUGUUUUGCACCACUGUCAGCAAUCUGUUUAUGAGAGCCCUUGGAGUGAGAACCUCUCUGAAAGCUUCCUGGCCAAAACCACAUGGGAACCAUCACAGCCUGGGAGCAGGAGAGAAUCCUGGUCUGGAGACCACACAUCCCCUUCUUCAGGGAAAGAAGUCCCUCACAGCUGCCUCCUCAGCCUGCAGCUUCCACUGAUGUUAUUGGAAUUUGCAAUAAUGGGGACACAUUCGUGGUGCAUAAAUGUGAAUCCCACUGGUUAAAAGGGCAGAAGAUAAAGGAAACUUCACCAAGGGAACAUUAUAUUCGUCAAUAAAGAUUUUCAGGGACCAUAUUAGAGAUCUGGCUGACCCAUGUCCACUGAACAGAAACCAAGAUGUGUCUUUGGCCCCUGCAGACACAGGGACAGCAACUGCUGUGCAGCCCAAAACCUGCUGUGAAUUCCAGGCACCAAGCUGCAGGACCUGGCUGGCAUUGCCUCCAGCAGCAUCCGCCCUAGCUAGAUGCCUGGAGCAAGAGCACCUGACUGACAGGAGCGACCAGGGAAACUGCAACUGCUGGUGCUGGCAGGUGAGGCACAGAGAUGGUGAGUGAAGUUGAUGUGAGUGACCUCAUGUAGGGAUCAAAUAGAUAAAUGUUCAAAUUUUGAUUGUUAAUCAAAUAGAUUUGCUAUUUUCAUUGAGUAUGAAGAGGUAACUAACCUUUUUUUUUUUUCAUACUUUAGACAAUAGAUCUGCAAGGAAUAGAUCUGUAUCAGGAACAGUGUGGCCGACAGGUCCUGGGAAGUGAUUCUUCCCCUGUACUCAGCACUGGUGAGGCCACACCUGGAGUACUGUGUCCAGUUUUGGGCCCCUCAGUUCAGGAAGGAUAUUGAGGUGCUGGAGCAGGUCCGGAGAAGAGCAACAAGACUGCUGAAGGGACUUGAGCACAAGUCCUAUGAGGAGAGGCUAAGGGAGCUGGAGGUGUUUAGUCUGGAGAAGAGGAGGUUCAGGGGAGACCUCAUCACUCUCUACAACUCCCUGAAAGGAGGUUGUAGCCAGGUGGGGGUCAGUCUCUUCUCCCAGGCAGCUAUCAGUAAGACAACAGGGCAUGGUCUUAAGCUCUGCCAGAGGAAGUUUAGGUUAGAUAUUAGGAAGAAAUUCUCUACAGAGAGGGAAAUCAGGCAUUGGAAUGGGCUGCCCAGGGCAGUGGUGGAUUCUCUGUCCCUGGAGGUUUUUAAGAUGCGACAGGAUGUGGUACUUAGUGCCAUGCUCUAGUGGCCAAGGUGUUGUUAAAUCAAGGGUUGGACUUGAUGAUCUUAGAGGUCUUUUCCAACCUGGCUGAUUCUAUGAUUCUAUGAGUCUGUGGUUCUAUGAUUAAUCAAGAAGAGGAGCAGGAGACGUCCUUUCAACCCUGCAAGUUCUAUGAUUCUAUGAAUCUACGAAAAGUAGCCUAUGUUAAAGCACUUCUGGUUUGCGCCUGGUCCACCCUGUGCAUCAGCAAGCCAACAGCACACAUGGGGUGGGGUGAGUGCUCACUGUGACUAACAGAAGGAGAAAUGUGUACAAUCAGAAUGAAAACCUGAGGUACUUGAUGGAGGCAACUUACUCAUGCAACAGCUGUGGCAUUUGAUUGAUUUCCCUGCCUGACCUGAGUCAUGGGAAAACAACCAAAGGGUUAUUUCAGCUGACUGACAUGACCCACUCUGGAGGGACGUGACUAGGAUGUCUGUAGCUGAAUACAUUGAAAAAAUAGUUUUAUUACUCUAUAUUUGUUAUUUAUUUUUAUCACCAGAACUACCUGGAAUUCACACAAAAAUUCUGCAAGUCCAGACAGCACUGAACUAUUCACUCUAUACUCCGACUUCAUGAACCAGGCUCAUCCCAGGGGAAUGGAAGGGGCAAAAUAGUCUUGCUAUAUUGCAGAGUGGAAAUAGUAAACACAAGAACAAGUGGGAUAUGUCAGAGAAAAAUCAACAAAACAUCCUAUCAUCAGGUCAGUUAAUGUUCUUUGGGAGGACUCUGGAUGUUUCUUUAAAAAGGUCCAUCUACAAAGAUAGCUCUUAAAAUCCAUCAAGGAAAAACUGGGUCUAGCAUGUUACAGAUUUACAGUCAGCCCAAGGUAGGGAGUUAGGGUUUGUUUUCAAAGUGCAAGGAGAUUGCUGAAGAUAUCUUCCCUUCUCAUUGACCUGUGCUACCCAUUAUAUUCAUAUGGGACAUGAGGAAGAACUUCAGUAGGGCAAUUACCAAGACUGCGGAUGAUACAGAAUUGCCUAGGAUAAUGAUGGUUUUUAAGUGAAGAGUAGAAAAUGGGUCUCUUGAGUAAGUGGUCUGCAAAAUGGCAAAGGAAAUUUAGUGUCAUCUGGAAAGAAAUUAUAAUAUGGAAAAGCAAUGUUUACAAUACACUAAUGUUGCACUAGUUAUUAAGACUCACAAUGCAGAGCUAGAGUUACUCUGAAUAAUGUGGUUAUCUGAAAAUAUGGAAGAGGUACAUGAAUACAUCUGCACUGCUUUCUCCAUGACCUGGAUUAGUGUAUAGUCUGCUUCAGCCCCAACUGUAGGUGUUGAGCUCUGUGCCAGUACCUGGGAGUGACCUCAAAUAUGCACACUCUGCUCUAGGUGGGGAAAAAAGUCUACAACUUAUUGCUCAGGUGUUUGGCUUUUUUAUCAGUUGUCCAACUCCUGUGCUAUUCAGGGAUGAGGGCCCACUACAACCCUCUUCUGCACCAGUCUGUGGAGGAUAUAAGCUAUCUCAUCCUUCCUAUGCUGAGGCUUGACCUCUUCAGCCUGAGUUGUCACCACCCCAUGUGGUUUACUUCUGCAAGUUCUUGACUUGAUCUUUGGUAUGUUAUAUUGGAAGAAACCUUCCAAAACAGGGAGGUACCCAGCAUGAGAAGCAUGUUUUGUCUGUAACUGUGCACACUGAAUGACACUUGAUUUGGAGAAGUUGAGCUCAGAAGAAAUAAAGUUUGAGCAUUAGAAAGAAGGACCAAAAAAUAAGAAUUUGCUUUGCUUCAUCCUGCUUCUCUGAUGUCUUCUGCUGAUUUCUAACUCCUUUCUCUUCAGGAUCUAGAGCCCCAGAGGAAACACUGUGGUGAACGCACAGCUAACUUACAUCAAGACAACAAUGACCUGAAAGUGCUACCACUUUCCUCAAUACCAGGCAUCCUCCCUGUCAGUGUCUUGUAUUUUGAAACACUUGUGGUCUUACAAUAAAACCAGUUUCCAAUUUACACAUUUUGACUCCCCAGUACAAAAUCCCAGGACACUAUCCUCUUGCCUUUAUGGAUAUCUUUUCAUCUGCUAAAAUUUUUCAUAUUUGCACAUUUUUUCUUACAGUCCUGCGUGCCCCAUAGAACAGGUUCUUCAAAAGGCAAAGAAAAGACUGGGGCAAGCAGCAUCCUACCUUUUAUCAAAACCUUUCUUUUAUGUCUCAUAUAUACCUCAUGAACAGUGUGAAAUGAAACAUUCCAUCUUACAGUUUGGCUGUAAUUGUCAUUUAAUUUACUUGUGAUCCUACAGCUUCUCUUUUAUUCCCAGUCCUUAUUUCUUACAGAGGAUCCCAAAUACAUCAAUUUUAUCAAUAUGACCUGCUCACAUAUCUCACACUUGGGUGAUCAUCUUUGUUCUAAAGAAUCUCAUGUUCACAGCCUGUUUCUAGUGGUACUAAUAAAAACCUCUUUCCAUCCUUUUUUGAGAAACCAUCCCUGUUUUCCACCUUCUUCUUAAAAAUUAAAGAGAAAAAAAAAGGAAAGGAAAAUAUUCAAAUUCUACACCCGAUAUUCUCUUUUUCAACAGUUCAUCACUGUGUACCUCAUUUGUUAUCUUUCUAAUAUAUUCCUCCAGCAGGAUUAUGCUGCUUCACUAAAGUUUUGACCUGUCACUUUUUCACUAUUUAUACAGUUAUCAUUAAAUGUUCCUGUCAUAUCUUCACGUUGUUGUUUUUUCUCUUCAUCUUUCCCAGCAAUGUAUAACCUGCUCUUGCUUCAGUGCGUGGACAGUAGCAUACAUAGCACAGCUGCUGCUGUUGUUCUUAUUACCACCAUAAUGGCUGAGGCAAAAAAGAGAGAAGCAGCUUUAGGCAUCGUACAAAUACAGACAAUCCCUGACCAAAAAAAAGAAAGGGGGAAAGCUCUAGUUUUGUUCAGAAUAAUUCUGAAAUUAUUCCUAUAAGUAUCCUACUCGUCCUUUAAAAUAUUCAUUUUUACCCAUUGUAAAGUUAUUACUAAAUGCAAUGUGUUCAGCCCUCCGUUUUUUUGACAGUCUACUAUUUUCCAUUAGUUCUCCCUCACCACCUCCCUUUCUAGCUAGUUUUAGCAACAACGUUGGAGCAGGUGAUCUCUCUAAGACUUCACUUGCCACAGUUUUCCUAUGUGCUUUGAUACGUGGAAUCCAGCCAUGUAUUAAGUGCUGCAAUAACUACAGGUUCCCAGGUUUUUGAGAAACCUAGCCUUCAUUUAAUAGUUUUACAGUGGUCUGUCCCCCUUGUCCACCUCUCUUGGCAAAAAAAACCCCUGCUGGAUUGGCUUGUUUUAUCAACAUUUUAGUCCUGAGAUCAGAUCUUCACACUGGAAAUGCGUUUAUUCCCAGCCAGCCACCACUGCCCGGUGCUGUUUAGUAAAUCAGCAGACUGAACUUAUGCACUCAACCCAGCCUGUGUGGAGAGGGUAACACUGAGCCCCAGUGAGCAGAGCUUCAUUCUGUUUCUGCAACACGUCACCCACCUACAGAGCAGAUCAAGGAAGAUGUUACAUGGUAGCAGCAGGAGAAGAGUCACUCAGCUACAGAGAGCUUGGAGGGAAGCUAGACACCAUCUCAUCCUAACAGGAGGGCUAGAGAGCUGUAUGGGCAGUACAUAAGGCAUGUUGGGACACUGGUGAGUUGCCAUUGGAUAUUAGGAAAAAAGAAAUCACUGUAAGGGUUAUCAAGCGUUGGAACAGGCUUCACAGAGAUGUGGUUGACUCACUGUUCUUGGAGGUAUUUAAAAGAUGUGUAGAUAGGGUGCUUAGGGACAUGUUUUAGUGGUGGACUUUGCACUAUUGGCUUUACAGUUGGACUUGAUUAUCUUAAGAGUCUUUUUCCUCCUAAACAGUUCUAUGAUUCUGUAAUUCUAUGACAGUGGACAGUCAGGAAGGUUCCCAGUCUGUUCUGCCCCCUGGUGAUGGUUCUGGGAGAUUAUUGCAGUAAUGCUGUUUGGGUUUAUUUUCUUGCAGUAUAAUAUUUCUUUGAAUUGGGAUUGAAGAAAAGGAGGACACCAGGGUGAAGGAACUUCAGGAUGUGGAAAUUUCAAACCCUGUCCCUGGUUUGAGAAGUAUUCUCUGGCCAAGACAGCACUUUUCACUUCUGUGGAAUGGCAAUAUUUGUGGCUGGUAGUGGAACCCUUUAUUUAUUAAUAUAUGGAAGACACUAUAUUAAUGCAAUGUUAUUUUCCCUGGAAAAUAAAGGCAGGCUAAAAAUAGUGUAAGUACGUUUUGACAGACCAUUUCUUAUUUUCUUUUUAUGUUCAGUUCCUUUGAGUCUGUCUUUUUCUUGUUAGGAAAGCAUAAUUAACAUUUUAAUUUUCAUUUCAUUACCUGGCCCAGGUUUUGGUACUCUGUAGGCAACCACUAAUCAUUUAGUCCCCAAAAUGAGCUGAAGGCUUCUUGGUGCAAGGAACAUUAAAGAUAUAGAGGGAACAGACCCUGCUCUGGCUGGAGGCAGUGGAAGGAAACUGACCUACCUGUAAUCAGACUGAAUACAGGUCUACAGGUGUCGAGUUUCCUACCCCUAUCACAAUACUUAUGCCUCCCUGAUGAACAGGAGGCACAAAUGUAGAUGCAGAUGCACUCUCACUUGGGACUGGCAUGGAAACACCUAAAAGAUCCCAGCUGAAAGCUCUCUGUACUAUAAUUAGAACAAGGCUGCCUGGAAAGCUUUUCAUGUCUGUGGCAAGGCAGAGUUCUAGGAUCCAACCAUAAAGAAAAGCAAAGACUUUCUGAGGUAGCUUUCCCAGCUCUUUAAUGCUAUCAUUUUGGACCAAAGCUCUUAAACUGUUUUGGCUUUCUAUUGAAGCAACCCUGGGGUUGAAAAAGUAUGCUUAGCACUGUACCCCCAAGCCACUGGAUGCCCACCUCAACGGACUCCCAUAUUAGUGUGCCUCAUGGAGAGGCUGUACAGAAGCAGGGAAGGAAAACCAACCUCCAGGUGCUCCUUCAUGAAAGAGAACAACCAACUGUAGACAGUCAACAGAAAAAAAUCAAGAUCUGUACCCUCCCUCACACAGGUGUGGUUUUUUUUCAAAUUAUGUAAUUUUAAUAAAACUAUAUAAAAUAAAUUUUAUAUAAUUUAUAUCAAUAUUGUGUCAAUUCAUUUUAAAAUAUUUUAUAAUGUUAUAUGAAUUUUAUAUAAAGCAUUUCUGAAGGUCUGUGAAGGUUGUGGUGGGAAGGAGGUAUUUGGGGAACAGGUGAAGAAGGAGACAGAAAAAAACAUGAGGAAGAGGAGGAACAGAAAGAGCAGGAGGAAUACCUCCUCCUCUUGCUAGCCUGAUUUUCAUGUUCCUUCUCACCAGAUAGGCUGCAGGUAUGGGAUACACCUAGUACCUCGCUAACACUGCCUCUGUCACUAGCAGGCUCAAACUUAAGGUAACAGGCUUGAAAUUUAGGAUGCUGAAUAUUGGGGCCUGGGACCCCUUCUCUGGCUGAGGAGGCAGGUCCAGCAUAAUGGGGUGGAGUUAUCUGUUAAAUAUAUAAAAAGGAAGGCUAGGAGAGAGGCUCAAGCACUGUACACGAGUCAUCAGCAUUAGCACUUCCCCCUGUCGUGGCUUUGACAUAGUCACAAGUGGCAACAUGAGAGAGGAAAAGGUAAUUUAUCAGGGACAAGGCAAUGCCAUUUACCCGUUGGGAUGGCUCCUGCUUAUUUGCAGGGAGAACAUAGCCCUAGGGGCUGCCAGCAGCAUAAAGGUGGUAAGAGUCAGUCUUUAUUUCAGCAUUUGAGACAAUCUCUUGAAAAUUUAUUGUAGCAAGUGCCUCCUGACUUGAAAGUACCAAACAGCUUUGGGCAAGACCUGAGAUAAAGGAGGUUUGGGAGUGUGAGGAUUCUUCACUUUGUUUGCUUCAGCAGUGUCAACAAUGAAAGAUCCUAGCACUUGGAUGAAUGACUUGUCUUCAUCUGACAGGCAACUCCAUGAAAGUUUUAACAAUACCAUUAAUAGUUAUGCAUGGGCUGACUUACAUGGGAGCCUCCCUCCUCGAAUACUCUGUGCUGAAGGAGCUGUGCUGAAGCAGGAUUGUCUGCAUAUGAAUUACUCACGGUUUUAAUGGCUGAGCAUUUUUGCCCAUGUGUUAGUGCAGACAAACUGCAUAUUGAAAGGCUAAAAACUUUGUUCCCUCCAAACUCCUUCAACUCAUUUGGUGAUAGGGGAGCAUAUUAAUGUUGUCGCCUGGUAUUCCCAACACAUCUGAGGAACUCCUAUGACAAUACAAGACUCCUUGGGGAGAGGAUGGAGGAAUGGGCAGGAAAAAAUGAUCAGGGAUUCUGUAAUUCACGUUUGAAGCAGGGUUCUCAUUUUGCUUACUUUGUUCUCUGCUAGACAUUUGUAAAUAUACUGAAUUCUUUUUGAAAAUGAAACCUCUUUUGACAUUUCUGAAAGCUUCCACAUUCAGAGCUUGUUCUGUUCCUUGGCUUUUAGAGGCAACCACAACUAUGCUGCAAGUGAAUGAAAACCCACAGAUCUUUAAAUGUCUCCAGUGACCAGAGUUUUAAACCUAAAAGCCCUUUGGAUUAGAUAGAAAUACUUUUGCUGUAUCCCAAAAUUGGCUUCUGCAAGAAGAACAGAAGAUGAAAUGUUUUUUCAAGCACUUGGUGCCUCUUAUAGUGGUGAUAUAAAUUAUUUUCUAGCACUCAUCUUAGUCUUAUAUCCACUGAAGCAAGAGAAGCUGAGUGUCGCCUACCUGAAAAUCACAUGGAGUAUUUCUCAGAACCUAACUCUGUGGUGCCUACCAACAGUGCUUUGCUCAAUGCCUCCAGCUGUGUAAUUCCCACUGCUAAGUUAGACAGGAGGUUAGGAGUUAAACUGAGCAGGAGGCCUGUUGUUCCAGCCCGGGAUAAAAAGAACUAAAUGCUGUUUUUCCAGAGCAUAAAUCCAGUAACAUGGUUGAGAAUACCUCUGCAACUGCAGUGUCAGUUUUUGAAAAGCAGAAUUUGUUCUGGUGGGUUUUCCUUUUUCUGCUUGUGUGUUUUGUUUGCCAUUUAUCUGAGUUUUACUUUGUUUUCUAAUUGCUUUCUCUAAGGCAGAUAAGGAUUUUCCUUGGGUAGUAUGUUUUGGCAGAUGACCACUAUGAAUGUUAUAGAUGCUGGUAGCUGUAGGGUUGUAAUUUUGUGUUAUUUCAUGUAUACCUGCUGUUUCCCAGGUUUGAUGGAGAGAUGGUAGGGGCAGUUCUGACUGCAAAGCUUGUGAGCUGUACCUGGAUAAAUAGAUGCAUUAAGCAUAUGGCCCUUCACAUUACAGCAAUAACCUUGUGUACUGAAGAGCACAUUACUUUCACUCUAGGCUUGCACUGCAGAUGAUUUCUCAGAGCAAUAGCCAGAUACUCCUUGAACUACUGCCUUCAAAAUAGCUUUACAAAACUGGAACUAGUUUCUGGAGCAUGAUUUUUACCCUCAGAGCUUGUUUUAACCCCCUAUAGCAUGUUUGCUUUGCAUUUGAUAUGUGCAGGAUCAAACCCAGAAGCAAGAUGAAGAAAAAAAUUAUUUAGGCUAUUUUUUGGAUAGCAGUGCAUUCUAGCAUACCUCCCUCUGAAUAGCCUGAGUGUUUUAAAAGAGAGUUGAGCUAAAGUAGGACUGAGGGAAUUGAAGGAAGUGAAUAUGGGUUUUGUCAGCCUCUGGCAGUGGAAGCAACAGGUUCUGCAUAUUUACUGAUUAUAAUGUGCUCUACAUACUGGAAGGGGGUAUUCAGAGCUUAUGAUGGGUGUCUUUACUAUGCCUGGUUCAGAAAUCAGAAUGAAUAAAUGAU